rnacentral:rRNA from 1 species
UACGAAGGGGGCAAGCGUUGUUCGGAAUUACUGGGCGUAAAGGGCGCGUAGGCGGCCGAUCAAGUCAGGCGUGAAAUUCCCGGGCUCAACCUGGGGGCUGCGCUUGAUACUGAUUGGCUUGAAUGCGGGAGAGGAUAGUGGAAUUCCCAGUGCAGAGGUGAAAUUCGUAGAUAUUGGGAAGAACACCGGUGGCGAAGGCGGCUAUCUGGCCCGUAAUUGACGCUGAGGCGCGAAAGCGUGGGGAGCAAACAGG